AAAUUGUCCAAUAAAUAGGCUUCCCAAUUAUGUAAAAAGUGCGUAUCAUACGCACCUCAAAAUCAGCUGAAGCUGACAUAGAUUGAUUAAAGAGUACGGUUUUUUAGCCGUACUUUUUAUUUGGAUAGUUAUCUCGUUAAAUUUGUUUUAAAUUUAAUCACUUACGGAAGA
rnacentral:ncRNA from 1 species